AGCGAACGCUGGCGGCAGGCUUAACACAUGCAAGUCGAGCGGGCCCUUCGGGGUCAGCGGCAGACGGGUGAGUAACACGUGGGAACGUGCCCCUCGGUUCGGAAUAACUCAGGGAAACUUGAGCUAAUACCGGAUACGCCCUUAUGGGGAAAGGGUUUACUGCCGAAGGAUCGGCCCGCGUCUGAUUAGCUAGUUGGGUGGGGGUAAUGGCCCACCAAGGCGACGAUCAGUAGCUGGUCUGAGAGGAUGAUCAGCCACACUGGGACUGAGACACGGCCCAGACUCCUACGGGAGGCAGCAGUGGGGGAAUAUUGGACAAUGGGCGGCAAGCCUGAUCCAGCCAUGCCGCGUGUGUGAUGAAGGCC
rnacentral:rRNA from 1 species